AUUGAACGCUGGCGGCAUGCCUUACACAUGCAAGUCGAACGGCAGCACGGGAGCAAUCCUGGUGGCGAGUGGCGAACGGGUGAGUAAUAUAUCGGAACGUGCCCAGUCGUGGGGGAUAACGUAGCGAAAGCUACGCUAAUACCGCAUACGAUCUAUGGAUGAAAGCGGGGGAUCGCAAGACCUCGCGCGAUUGGAGCGGCCGAUAUCAGAUUAGGUAGUUGGUGAGGUAAAGGCUCACCAAGCCGACGAUCUGUAGCUGGUCUGAGAGGACGACCAGCCACACUGGGACUGAGACACGGACCAGACUCCUACGGGAGGCAGCAGUGAGGAAUAUUGGACAAUGGGCGCAAGCCUGAUCCAGCCAUGCCGCGUGCAGGAAGACGGUCCUAUGGAUUGUAAACUGCUUUUAUACAGGAAGAAACCCUCCCACGUGGGGGAGCUUGACGGUACUGUAGGAAUAAGGAUCGGCUAACUCCGUG
rnacentral:rRNA from 1 species